rnacentral:rRNA from 1 species
AUUCCCCUAGUAACUGCGAGUGAAGAGGGAAAAGCUCAAAUUUAAAAUCUGGCAGCUUGGCUGUCCGAGUUGUAAUUUAGAGAAGUGUUACCCGCGUUGGACCGUGUACAAGUCUCCUGGAACGGAGCGUCAUAGAGGGUGAGAAUCCCGUCUUUGACACGGACUCCCAAGGCACUGUGGUACGCUCUCAAAGAGUCGUGUUGUUUGGGAAUGCAGCACUAAAUGGGUGGUAAAUUCCAUCUAAAGCUAAAUAUUGGCGAGAGACCGAUAGCAAACAAGUACCGUGAGGGAAAGAUGAAAAGAACUUUGGAAAGAGAGUUAAACAGUACGUGAAAUUGUUGAAAGGGAAACGCUUAAAGUCCAGUCGCGUUGGUUGGAAAUCAGUCUAGCUUUUGCUUGAUGUACUUUCUAAUUGACGGGUCAGCAUCAGUUUUGAUYGUUGGAUAAAGGUUGGAGGAAUGUGGCAUCUUCGGAUGUGUUAUAGCCUUUAAUUGUAUACAACGGUUGGGACUGAGGAACUCAGCACGCCGAAAGGCC